rnacentral:tRNA from 1 species
GGUAGGGUGGCCGAGUUUUAGGCGGCGGUCUGUAGCACCGUAUACAAGGGUUCAAUUCCCUUUUCUAUCA